rnacentral:rRNA from 1 species
GAUGAACGCUGGCGGCGUGCCUAAUACAUGCAAGUAGAACGCUGAAGGAGGAGCUUGCUCUUCUGGAUGAGUUGCGAACGGGUGAGUAACGCGUAGGUAACCUGCCUGGUAGCGGGGGAUAACUAUUGGAAACGAUAGCUAAUACCGCAUGACAACAGUUAUUGCAUGAUAACUGUUUAAAAGUGGCAACUGCUCCACUACCAGAUGGACCUGCGUUGUAUUAGCUAGUUGGUGAGGUAACGGCUCACCAAGGCGACGAUACAUAGCCGACCUGAGAGGGUGAUCGGCCACACUGGGACUGAGACACGGCCCAGACUCCUACGGGAGGCAGCGGUAGGGAAUCUUCGGCAAUGGACGGAAGUCUGACCGAGCAACGCCGCGUGAGUGAAGAAGGUUUUCGGAUCGUAAAGCUCUGUUGUAAGAGAAGAACGAGUGUGAGAGUGGAAAGUUCACACUGUGACGGUAUCUUACCAGAAAGAGACGGCUAACUACGUG